UACGUAGGGGCCAAGCGUUGUCCGGAUUUAUUGGGCGUAAAGAGCUCGUAGGCGGUUGGGUAAGUCGGGUGUGAAAACUCCAGGCUCAACUUGGAGAGGCCACCCGAUACUGCUCUGACUUGAGUUCGGUAGGGGAGUGGGGAAUUCCUGGUGUAGCGGUGAAAUGCGCAGAUGUCAGGAGGAACACCGGUGGCGAAGGCGCCACUCUGGGCCGAAACUGACGCUGAGGAGCGAAAGCGUGGGUAGCAAACAGG
rnacentral:rRNA from 1 species